CGCUAGCUACAGGCUUAACACAUGCAAGUCGAGGGGCAGCAUGGUCUUAGCUUGCUAAGGCCGAUGGCGACCGGCGCACGGGUGAGUAACACGUAUCCAACCUGCCGUCUACUCUUGGACAGCCUUCUGAAAGGAAGAUUAAUACAAGAUGGCAUCAUGAGUCCACAUGUUCACAUGAUUAAAGGUAUUCCGGUAGACGAUGGGGAUGCGUUCCAUUAGAUAGUAGGCGGGGUAACGGCCCACCUAGUCUUCGAUGGAUAGGGGUUCUGAGAGGAAGGUCCCCCACAUUGGAACUGAGACACGGUCCAAACUCCUACGGGAGGCAGCAGUGAGGAAUAUUGGUCAAUGGGCGAGAGCCUGAACCAGCCAAGUAGCGUGAAGGAUGACUGCCCUAUGGGUUGUAAACUUCUUUUAUAAAGGAAUAAAGUCGGGUAUGCAUACCCGUUUGCAUGUACUUUAUGAAUAAGGAUCGGCUAACUCCGUGCCAGCAGCCGCGGUAAUACGGAGGAUCCGAGCGUUAUCCGGAUUUAUUGGGUUUAAAGGGAGCGUAGAUGGAUGUUUAAGUCAGUUGUGAAAGUUUGCGGCUCAACCGUAAAAUUGCAGUUGAUACUGGAUAUCUUGAGUGCAGUUGAGGCAGGCGGAAUUCGUGGUGUAGCGGUGAAAUGCUUAGGAUAUCACGAAGAACUCCGAUUGCGAAGGCAGCCUGCUAAGCUGCAACUGACAUUGAGGCUCGAAAGUGUGGGUAUCAAACAGGAUUAGAUACCCUGGUAGUCCACACGGUAAACGAUGAAUACUCGCUGUUUGCGAUAUACUGCAAGCGGCCAAGCGAAAGCGUUAAGUAUUCCACCUGGGGAGUACGCCGGCAACGGUGAAACUCAAAGGAAUUGACGGGGGCCCGCACAAGCGGAGGAACAUGUGGUUUAAUUCGAUGAUACGCGAGGAACCUUACCCGGGCUUAAAUUGCAGAUGAAUUACGGUGAAAGCCGUAAGCCGCAAGGCAUCUGUGAAGGUGCUGCAUGGUUGUCGUCAGCUCGUGCCGUGAGGUGUCGGCUUAAGUGCCAUAACGAGCGCAACCCUUGUUGUCAGUUACUAACAGGUUCUGCUGAGGACUCUGACAAGACUGCCAUCGUAAGAUGUGAGGAAGGUGGGGAUGACGUCAAAUCAGCACGGCCCUUACGUCCGGGGCUACACACGUGUUACAAUGGGGGGUACAGAGGGCCGCUACCACGCGAGUGGAUGCCAAUCCCAAAAACCUCUCUCAGUUCGGACUGGAGUCUGCAACCCGACUCCACGAAGCUGGAUUCGCUAGUAAUCGCGCAUCAGCCACGGCGCGGUGAAUACGUUCCCGGGCCUUGUACACACCGCCCGUCAAGCCAUGGGAGCCGGGGGUACCUGAAGUGCGUAACCGCGAGGAGCGCCCUAGGGUAAAACUGGUGACUGGGGCU
rnacentral:rRNA from 1 species